CCAAUCUUAGCGGGCCUGAUCUUUAUUGAUUAUGGUUCGCGAAAAUCGUAUUUAAAACCCCACUCUUAUUAAAUGAAUCAUUUUAUUUGUAAUAAUAAAUAAAGA
rnacentral:misc_RNA from 1 species